rnacentral:tRNA from 3 species
GGGCGCGUAGCUCAGGGGUAGAGCAUCUGCCUUUUAAGCAGAGGGUCGGUGGUUCGAACCCACCCGCGCUCA